rnacentral:rRNA from 1 species
CCUACGGGAGGCAGCAGUGGGGAAUAUUGGGCAAUGGGCGAAAGCCUGACCCAGCAACGCCGCGUGACGGAAGAAGGCUUUCGGGUUGUAAACUUCUUUUGUCAGGUACGAGCAGACUACGGUUCCCUUAGAAUAAGCCCCGGGUAACUACGUGCCAGCAGCCGUGGUAAAUCGUAGGUGGGCAGCGUUGUCCGGAUUUACUGGGUGUAAAGGGCGUGUAGCCGGGGUGACAAGUCAGAUGUGAACUCCGUGGGCUCAACCCUCGAACUGCAUUUGAAACUGGUGGUCUUGAGUAUCGGAGAGGCAGGCGGAAUUCCUAGUGUAGCGGUGAAAUGCGUAGAUAUUAGGAGGAACACCAGUGGCGAAGGCGGCCUGCUGGACGACAACUGACGGUGAGGCGCGAAAGCGUGGGGAGCAAACAGGAUUAGAUACCCCAGUAGUC